ACCCAACAGCUAGCCCCCCCAUCACAUAAUUAAAUAUACAAACCUAUUAAUAAAAACAAAAUAAAUCAUUCUUCCUCCUUAGUAUGGGCGACAGAACAGGACUACUUGGAGCCACAGAAAAAGUACCGCAAGGGAAUGCUGAAAAAGAAAUGAAACAAUUAUUUUAAGUAGGAAAAAGCAGAGACUUACACUCGUACCUUUUGCAUCAUGGUUAAGCCAGUAAACUUAAAGCAAAGAGCCCUUUAGUUUUACUUCCCGAAACCAGACGAGCUACUCCGAGACAGCCUAUCAAGGGCGAACCCGUCUCUGUGGCAAAAGAGUGGGAUGAGCUCCGAGUAGAGGUGAAAAGCCUACCGAGCCUGGUUAUAGCUGGUUGCCUGAGAAAUGAAUAGAAGUUCAGCCCUCCAAUUUCCCCUCCCACCAUUCACCGGCCAAAAGGAAAUUAGAGGAGUUAGUCAAAGAAGGUUCAGCUUCUUUGAAACAAGACACAACUUUACUAGGAGAUAAAAGAUCAUAAUAAACCCAAGGAACCUUAUUUUAGUGGGCCUAAAAGCAGCCACCUACGGAGAAAGCGUUAAAGCUUAAAUAAAAUCCUACCAAUUAUACCGAUAUUCAAUCUUUCUCCCUUACCAUAUCAGGCUAUUCCAUGCCAACAUGGAAGAAAUACUGCUUAAAUGAGUAAUAAGAGGAACACGACCCUCUCCUCGCACACGUGUAAGUCGGAACGGACCACCCGCCGACAAUUAAUGGACCCAAAAGAGGGCAUUGUGGUAAAACCCAAUAAACUAGAUAACCCCACAAAAACAACCAUUAACCCCACACAGGAGUGCACCUAAGGAAAGACUAAAAGAUGAGGAAGGAACUCGGCAACCAGGAGCCUCGCCUGUUUACCAAAAACAUCGCCUCUUGCAAAAACAAAGUAUAAGAGGUCCCGCCUGCCCUGUGACUCGAGAGUUUAACGGCCGCGGUAUCUUGACCGUGCGAAGGUAGCGCAAUCACUUGUCCUUUAAAUGAGGACCCGUAUGAAUGGCAUAACGAGGGCUCAACUGUCUCCCCCAUCCUGUCAAUGAAAUUGAUCUUCCCGUGCAGAAGCGGGAAUUUACCCAUAAGACGAGAAGACCCUAUGGAGCUUUAGAUAUUAGGCAGCCCACAACAAACACUCCCAGUAACCCGGAGCUGAAUUCAAUGUGUGUGUCCUGCCGGAAUGUCUUUGGUUGGGGCGACCGUGGAAAAUAAAAAUCUUCCAUGAGGACUGGGAACACCUUCCCAAAACUAAGGGCCCCCGCCCUAAGUAGCAGAAGAUCUGACCUAAAUGAUCCGGCCUACGGCCGAUCAACGGACCGAGUUACCCUAGGGAUAACAGCGCAAUCCCCUCCUAGAGCCCCCAUCGACGAGAGGGUUUACGACCUCGAUGUUGGAUCAGGACAUCCUAAUGGUGCAGCCGCUAUUAAGGGUUCGUUUGUUCAACGAUUAAAGUCCUACGUGAUCUGAGUUCAGACCGGAGUAAUCCAGGUCAGUUUCUAUCUAUGGAUAUGAUCUUUUCCAGUACGAAAGGACCGAAAAGGGAGGGCCCAUGCCACUGGUAUGCCCUACCCCCACCUGAAGAAACCAACUAAAACAAGAAAGGGGACAUACCCUAACUUGUUAAAGAAUAUAACAU
rnacentral:rRNA from 1 species